CAGAGCCAGUGAUGGGUGCAAGAUGUUUAAUAUUCCUAGGGGGAAGCAUGAUUUUGCCAAAAACCAGAGGAGGUUAUGGCUUCAAGCCAUAAAAAGGGCAGAUUGGGGUCCGGUUGUUCCAAAAGGAGGCAAGAGUGUCUGCAGUGCACAUUUCAUAAGUGGAUCAAAGUUGACUUGUUGUAGGUUGUACAACAGGCAUAGGAAAGGCUUGCAUUGCAAGAUAAGUUUGGUUUGGUCUCUCUCUCUCUCUCUCUCAUAUUUUGGUGGGUAGGGAGAUGUGCUUGGUCUCUGCCUCUGUUUGGUGGUUUGGUUUUACUCUGUCUCUGUCAUUAUGAGUAAAUAUCAAUAUUAAGAAAGUAAUUAUUGCUAAUCACUUAUGUUUUUUUUCUAUCAGGGGAGCCAUCCUUUGACUGUGAUAGUCCAGACUUUGUUCCCUCCAUAUUCCCUCAUAGCACCACAGACAGUACUGCAAAGGUGGCAAGGUAUGAACGACAGAGAAGACGGGAGGAGUCAAGGGCUCCUGAUGAGAGACCUAGUGUCAUGCCUGAUCUGGAAUCAUCUGCAGAUGAGCCUGCCCCUGAGAAUACACUGGAAAGGCAAUACAGAGAGCUGCAGGAGGACUACUCCUCAGUGAAAAAAGAGCUGGAGACCGUACGAGAGGAAAACCGGCAGCUGAAAGAGAAACUGAGGAACUCGAAAUUCGGGUUUGAUUCCAUUUCAGACCCUGCACUUUGUUUCUUCACCGGUCUCCAAACAGCACAGGUGUUUUUAUGGCUUUUGAGCAUUCUCAAAAGAAGCGCUAUUUCACUGAGGGGUGGACUAACAUGGGAGAACCACCUCCUGUUAGUGCUCAUGAAAAUCAGGCUUGGCCUCUCCAAUAAGGACAUAGCAUACAGAUUCGGCCUUCCCUUCUCCACUGUUUCCAAAAUUUUAAGGGAGUGGGUACCCCUGCUGUCCUCCGUCCUAAAACCUCUAGUAAUUUGGCCCAGUAAGGAAGCAGUAAGAGCAAACUUGCCUAAAUCAUUUAAACCCAAAUUCAAAAACUGUAGAUGCAUAAUUGACUGUACCGAAAUUUUCAUAGAGAGAACAUACAAUUUGAAAGCCAGAGCUCCAUAUCCUUUCUGUCUGAUGGGUGGGGUGGUCGGGCCUCAGACAAAAUAAUAACAUUAGAUUCAAACUUUAUGAACAAACUUGACCAUGGGGAUGUUGUACUUGCAGAUAGAGGGUUCCUAAUCAGAGAAGAAUUGGCGAGUGUGGGGGCAACUUUAAAAAUCCCUAGCUUCACUAAGGGUAAGUCACAGUUGUCUGGUUUGUGCGUUGACACGUCCCGACAGUUAUCAAGAGUUCGUAUACACGUAGAACGUGUCAUUGGUCAGCUAAAGAAUUUUCAUAUAUUGAACAGCGUCAUACCUAUAAGCCAGGUUGAUAUGCUGGAUGACAUUAUCACCAUUUGUGCAGGUCUCACAAACCUGAAGAGGUCUGUGGUCCCCUGGAAAUAGAGUCUCAGAUAGUGCAGGUAGAGAUUGAGAUUGGAACUCAGUCCCUUUAAUUCUUUUAUGCAUUAUACCCCCCCCCCCAAACACACACACACAAACAC